AUUGAACGCUGGCGGCAGGCCUAACACAUGCAAGUCGAGCGGAUGAAGGGAGCUUGCUCCUGGAUUCAGCGGCGGACGGGUGAGUAAUGCCUAGGAAUCUGCCUGGUAGUGGGGGAUAACGUCCGGAAACGGGCGCUAAUACCGCAUACGUCCUGAGGGAGAAAGUGGGGGAUCUUCGGACCUCACGCUAUCAGAUGAGCCUAGGUCGGAUUAGCUAGUUGGUGGGGUAAAGGCCUACCAAGGCGACGAUCCGUAACUGGUCUGAGAGGAUGAUCAGUCACACUGGAACUGAGACACGGUCCAGACUCCUACGGGAGGCAGCAGUGGGGAAUAUUGGACAGUGGGCGAAAGCCUGAUCCAGCCAUGCCGCGUGUGUGAAGAAGGUCUUCGGAUUGUAUAGCACUUUAAGUUGGGAGGAAGGGCAGUAAGUUAAUACCUUGCUGUUUUGACGUUACCAACAGAAUAAGCACCGGCUAACUUCGUG
rnacentral:rRNA from 1 species